rnacentral:piRNA from 1 species
UCUUAAUAGUGCUACUUCCCAUAGAUCAA